AUGGGAUGGAGCUGGGAUGGGGUGGGAUGGGGUGGGGUGGGGUGGGAAUGGGAUGGAGAUGGGAUGGAAUGGGAUGGACUGGGAUGGGAUGGGAUGGGAUGGAGCUGGGAUGGGGUGGGAUGGGGUGGGGUGGGGUGGGAAUGGGAUGGACUGGGAUGGGAUGGGGUGGGAUGGGAUGGGAUGGGAUGGACUGGGAUGGACUGGGAUGGAGAUGGGGUGGACUGGGAUGGGAUGGGGUGGGGUGGGGUGGGAUGGGAUGGGAUGGGAAUGGGAUGGACUGGGAUGGAGAUGGGAUGGGGUGGGGUGGGAAUGGAAUGCACUGGGAUGGGAUGGGAUGGACUGGGAUGGAGAUGGGAUGGACUGGGAUGGACUGCGAUGGAGAUGGGAUGGACUGGGAUGGGAUGGGAUGGACUGGGAUAGACUGGGAUGGAGAUGGGAUGGACUGAGAUGGACUGGGAUGGACUGGGAUGGGAUGGAGAUGGACUGGGAUGGACUGGGAUGGACUGGGAUGGGACUGGGAUGGACUGGGAUGGACUGGGAUGGGAAUGGGAUGGACUGGGAUGGACUGGGAUGGAGAUGGGAUGGACUGGGAUGGACUGGGAUGGGAUGGGAUGGAGAUGGGAUGGGGUGCGGUGGGGUGGGGUGGGAUGGGGUGGACUGGGAUGGACUGGGAUGGACUGGGAUGGAGAUGGGAUGGACUGGGAUGGGAAUGGGAUGGACUGGGAUGGGAUGGAGAUGGACUGGGAUGGACUGGGAUGGAUGGGAUGGGAUGGGAUGGGAUGGGAUGGGAUGGGAUGGGGUGGGAUGGGGUGGACUGGGAUGGACUGGGAUGGAGAUGGGAUGGGGUGGGGUGGGAUGGAGCUGGGAUGGACUGGGAUGGAGAUGGGAUGGAGAUGGGAUGGGGUGGGGUGGGAAUGGGAUGGACUGGGAUGGAGAUGGGAUGGGAUGGGGUGGGAUGGGAUGGGAUGGACUGGGAUGGAGAUGGGAUGGAGAUGGGAUGGACUGCGAUGGGAUGGGGUGGGAUGGGGUGGACUGGGAUGGAAUGGGAUGGACUGAGAUGGACUGGGAUGGAAUGGGAUGGGAUGGGAUGGGAUGGGGUGGGAUGGACUGGGAUGGAAUGGGAUGGGAUGGGAUGGGGUGGGAUGGAGCUGGGAUGGACUGGGAUGGAAUGGGAUGGGAUGG
rnacentral:lncRNA from 1 species